UACGUAGGGGGCAAGCGUUGUCCGGAAUCAUUGGGCGUAAAGCGCGUGUAGGCGGCUCGGUAAGUCUGCUGUGAAAGUCCAGGGCUCAACCCUGGAAAGCCGGUGGAAACUGUCGAGCUAGAGUCCGGAAGAGGCGAGUGGAAUUCCUGGUGUAGCGGUGAAAUGCGCAGAUAUCAGGAGGAACACCAAUGGCGAAGGCAGCGCGCUGGGACGGUACUGACGCUGAGACGCGAAAGCGUGGGGAGCAAACAGG
rnacentral:rRNA from 1 species